UAUGGCAGGGACGAUGGCAGUUUCGGCGUCAUCGAAUCUCCUUCACUGCGGGAAACGAGCGCCGAGUACGCCCAAAGUUGGAGCGACCGCGAUCUUCGCGCAAUUCGUGCACGCGAACGGGGGUAUUUCUUCAAACGCGACGUCAUUACCGAUAGCGAUGUCGUGUCUCCGGAGGACAUCGAGACCGACCCGUUCUACAACGACUUUCUUCGGNUUUGCUGCCGCGACCGUCUCUCCGGACCCUCAUAUUGAAGUCGCGUUGAGUGUGCAGCGUG
rnacentral:misc_RNA from 1 species